GAGUUUGAUCAUGGCUCAGGACGAACGCUGGCGGCGUGCCUAACACAUGCAAGUCGAGCGAUGAAGCUCCUUCGGGAGUGGAUUAGCGGCGGACGGGUGAGUAACACGUGAGUAACCUGCCUCAAAGUGGGGGAUAGCCUUCCGAAAGGGAGAUUAAUACCGCAUAACAUCAUUUAAUCGCAUGGUUAAAUGAUCAAAGAUUUAUUGCUUUGAGAUGGACUCGCGGCGCAUUAGCUAGUUGGUGAGGUAACGGCUCACCAAGGCAACGAUGCGUAGCCGACCUGAGAGGGUGAUCGGCCACAUUGGGACUGAGACACGGCCCAGACUCCUACGGGAGGCAGCAGUGGGGAAUAUUGCGCAAUGGGCGAAAGCCUGACGCAGCAACGCCGCGUGAGUGAUGAAGGUCUUCGGAUUGUAAAGCUCUGUCUUCAGGGACGAUAAUGACGGUACCUGAGGAGGAAGCCACGGCUAACUACGUGCCAGCAGCCGCGGUAAUACGUAGGUGGCAAGCGUUGUCCGGAUUUACUGGGCGUAAAGGGUUCGUAGGCGGAUGAUUAAGUCAGAUGUGAAAGACCAGGGCUCAACCCUGGGGCUGUAUUUGAUACUGGUUAUCUAGAGUGCAGA
rnacentral:rRNA from 1 species